AGUGAACGCUGGCGGUAGGCCUAACACAUGCAAGUCGAACGGCAGCACAGGAGAGCUUGCUCUCUGGGUGGCGAGUGGCGGACGGGUGAGGAAUACAUCGGAAUCUACUUUUUCGUGGGGGAUAACGUAGGGAAACUUACGCUAAUACCGCAUACGACCUACGGGUGAAAGCAGGGGAUCUUCGGACCUUGCGCGAUUGAAUGAGCCGAUGUCGGAUUAGCUAGUUGGCGGGGUAAAGGCCCACCAAGGCGACGAUCCGUAGCUGGUCUGAGAGGAAGAUCGGCCACACUGGAACUGAGACACGUUCCAGACUCCUACGGGAGGCAGCAGUGGUGAAUAUUGGACAAUGGGCGCAAGCCUGAUCCAGCCAUACCGCGUGGGUGAAGAAGGCCUUCGGGUUGUAAAGCCCUUUUGUUGGGAAAGAAAUCCAGCUGGUUAAUACCCGGUUGGGAUGACGGUACCCAAAGAAUAAGCACCGGCUAACUUCGUGCCAGCCGCCGCCGUAA
rnacentral:rRNA from 1 species